CUGCAUAGGGUGUGACUAUCAGGAACCAUGGCUCACUGGAGCACCAUCUUUGGAGUCUAGCUAACACAGCAUCUUGGAUGCACUCCUAAGAGAAGACUACCUGAAAGGCGUGUACACUGGUCUAGCAGUUGAGAUCAGCUAGUGUUCCAUCUAUCUUCUGUCAUGUAUCUCUUCUAAGAUGUCUUGAUCGACUGACCCCAAAGCCAGAGGGUACCAGGUCAAAAAGCAAGAAAACAAACAAUACUGACAUUAGAGAGAAGCAAAGUUUCUAUAGAAAACCUAUUACACUGUGGUAUAAAUCAAGAUGAACCUGCAGACAUCUAUUUUAGUUUGGAAGUCUGGAAAAGUUCAAGAUUGGCCAUCUGCAGCUGGUGAGAGCCUCAGGCUGCUUCCCCUCAUGGUGGAAGGUGAAGGGGAGCUGGUGUGUGCAGAGAUUACAUGCUUUUCUAGGUCAUCAUUCUAGGCUUUGUUGAAGCAUGCAUUUUUGGCAUGAGGGUGGCAGCCUUUGCACUAUGUGCAUGGCUGAGGAGUUAGGAUCUGGAGGGUGAUGAAAGCAAAGGUGCUGCUGGUUACUCUUGGUUCAUCUAGCAAUAGAUGAUCUGAAUGUUAGAGUUCGCCAAAUAUUGUUCCUGGGCAGUCUUUGCUCUACCAAAUCAACUUUCUCCAUGGGGGAGCUAGAAGUCACCCCACAUUCUCCGCCAUGGCCAGCUCUACAUUCUAAGAGAACCAAUGGCUCUACCCAACAUAUUCUUCUCACCACAGAUGACAAAGACACAAGGAGCCAAGACAGAUCAUUCAAGCAUAUUCAUUGCCUCUAUCUUCAUCCCAUUAAAUAACAUCCCGCCAACCAAAGCAAGUUAUCUGCAUAAGAAUAAAUAUUCCACCUACUCUACUGCAAGGCCCUGCAAGAGUCAUGAGACAAAAGGAUCCUCUGUGGACAGCACCCAAGAUGGAAACAACUGACAGUCUAUGGCCAGGGCUAUACUCUGGUGAAACUGAAAGGUGUCUGCAUGGAAGUGUCUGACUACCACCAUCCACUCAGGCAAAUGCAUUUGUUUCCCUCUAUUCAUUAUUAGAAGAGAGGAGAUUACAUACCAGACAUAUACCAAUAGAGAUGGGGUUUCAUCAUGUUGACCAGGCUGGUCUUG
rnacentral:lncRNA from 1 species